rnacentral:rRNA from 1 species
AGUCAACAUGCCCAGAGGACGUGGAUAACCCCGGGAAGCUGAGUCUAAACCGCGAUAAGUGAGGAUUUCUGGAAUGGUUCCUGACUAAAAUCUAUAUGGCCUCUGGAUUGGACUGCGGCCGAUCAGGCUGUUGGUGAGGUAAUGGCCCACCAAACCUGUAACCGGUACGGGCUCUGAGAGGAGGAGCCCGGAGAUGGGCACUGAGACAAGGGCCCAGGCCCUAUGGGGCGCAGCAGGCGCGAAACCUCUGCAAUAGGCGAAAGCCUGACAGGGUUACUCUGAGUGACUUUCGCUAAGAAAGUCUUUUGGCACCUCUAAAAAGGGUGCAGAAUAAGGGGUGGGCAAGUCUGGUGUCAGCCGCCGCGGUAAUACCAGCACCCCGAGUGGUCGGGACGAUUAUUGGGCCUAAAGCAUCCGUAGCCGGUUCUGCAAGUCCCCCGUUAAAUCCAGCUGCUCAACAGAUGGGCCGCGGAGGAUACUACAGAGCUAGGAGGCAGGAGAGGCAAGCGGUACUCAGUGGGUAGGGGUAAAAUCCGUUGAUCCAUUGAAGACCACCAGUGGCGAAGGCGGCUUGCCAGAAUGCGCUCGACGGUGAGGGAUGAAAGCUGGGGGAGCAAACCGGAUUAGAUACCCGGGUAGUCCCAGCCGUAAACGAUGCAGACUCGGUGAUGGGUUGGC